GUUUUUGUGGCUUAUGAGGACUUUUGACCUGAUUACGUACCGACACUACGGGGACAUUUGGAAUUAUGAGGACAGGGACAGUGUCCCCAUAAUUCCUCUAAUAUAUCUAUAUAUAUCUAAGUAAGAGAAGCUAAAAUUCAAAGUUUCGGUCGAAGUCCACUUACACCACAUACCCCUGAAACUGACUUUACACAGUGUUAACUCGGAAUUUAAUAUAGCGCCCCCUUUAGUCUGGUCUUGGUAUUGCACCAACUUACACACUCACACAAAAUUUGAGCCUUCUGAUUGGCUACCGCUGACUCGCCUAAUUCGCGCUCUGAUUGGCUGCGGCCGAUGUCAUUCAUGUCACGUGUCUCGGUUUGUGGGCGGAGUUUCUCUAUGUGCAGCGCGUCAUCAUGCGGAACUCAUAAUACGUCAAUCUUUAAAAAACAGCGUCCGGUGUACAGACUGUGUGAGAUGAAGCUGAGGAGGAGGAGGAGAGACAAUCCCAAACAGGAGGCUGAAUAUUUCACAUCUGCUGCCAAAGACAAGGAGGGAUUUGAUGUGAAAUAUAUAAAUUCAUUUAUAGGACGUGGAGUAUUCAGUUGUGUUCAUUUUGAUAAGGGAGAUUUUCUUUUGGAGUACAGAGGACAACUCAUAAACAAAGCUGAUCGACGACAGAAGUUAUAUCACGAUGCCAUGAAAGCGUUCAUGUAUGAAUUCCGUUUCAAUGGAAGACUCUUAUGUGUCGAUGCUUCCAGAGAAGAUGGUUCCCUUGGGAGACUUGUCAAUGAUGACCACAUCAGCCCAAACAGCAAAAUGAAAAUAAUCACUGUAGAGGGAAAGCCUCAUCUGUGUUUAUUUGCGACUAGGAGCAUCGACCCUGGAGAAGAAAUCACAUACGACUAUGGCAAUUCUGAGUUGCCUUGGAGAAAUAAGAUUGUAGCUGAAGAACACCAACUGCCACCAGAGGAAAACAGCACUAUGGCAUUGAGUGAGGCCAGGAGGGUGAAAGACAAUCAGUCUCUGUCACAGCACCAGGCUGUUUCUGAGGCAGACCCCUUUACCCCUGUGACCGAAGAUACCCAGGCAGCCAUCAACCAAACAGAACAGAAUAUAGCUGGAGCCGUCACUGAGGUUACAUCAGAGCUGACGUCUGUGAUGGACAAGUUGGAGACUGAUGUUCUGGGAGGAGAGACAGAAAAGAAUAUAGCUGGAGCCGUCACUGAGGUUACAUCAGAGCUGACGUCUGUGAUGGACAAGUUGGAGACUGAUGUUCCAGGAGGAGAGACAGAAAAGAAUACAGCUGGAACCAUUACUGAGGUUACAACAGUGCUGACGACUAUAAAGGACAAGAUGGAGCCUGAGGUUCCAAGAAAGGAGACAGAAAAGAUUACCAUUGUGAAGGAGCAAUCUGGGCCUGAGGAAAAAGAUACAAUAGCACCAAGUGAGAAAACAGAAAAAAAUUGUAAACAUGAAAUGGUCUUCACAACUGUUUCGAGCAUGAACAAAUGUGCAGCAUGUGUUGGACCUGUAGCAUCACUCAAAUGGAUUGGUCUGAGAUGCAAAGUCUGCAAUUGUUUUUGGCACAAGUCCUGCUUUGUAAAACUUAUUAAGAAUGAGUCACUAUCAUGGCUUCCAAACCCCAGGAGAUAUCUGGUGUGGGAAUGUAGACUCUGCCAUGGCUGCCAAACCCAAAACCCUGACCCUACCGUGGUGUUCAUUUAGUUCUCCUGGCUAAACUGAUGGAAGUGAAUCUGAGAAUGGCACUGAAAGUGAGAAUAUGAAUGUGUCUAUGAGUGCACCAGUGCAGAUUGGGAUGCAGAAGGAUCACCCACCAAAAGAAGCCAAAGCUGGAUGUUCUGGUUGUAUUUUCCAAGUUAUAUAUGUGGUUUUGACUUUUAUUUUAGUCAUAUAACUCAUAAUUAUCAUUUUUGUUUUACCUAUUUUUAAUUUGAAACAAAAGUAUAUGUCAUCAUAUCUCCCAGUCUUUAUGGUUGUAUGAUGUGCAUAUUUAUAUACUUGUUUGUUUAGUCUCAAACACAGAUGCUUUGCCCAUGUCCCAUAGAGCACCUGCUGUUUUAUGUGCAAUAAGCUGGCUAUAAGGUUCACAAUUUUAAACAUCACAAUCUAAUUGAUUCUUUUGAUACGUGUUGUAUACACCAAUCAGACAUAACAACCAGUGAAAGGUGAAGUGAAUAACAUUGAUUAUUUCUCUACGAUGGCAUUUGUUGAGGGUUGGGAUAUAUUGGUAUAACAGUCAGUUCUCUGUGUUGAUGUGUUAGAAGCAGGAAAAAUGGGCAAGGGAUGCUACAUAAAGGUUCCUCUGAAAGUAACGGAACAGCAAGCUCAAUUAGUCUGUUUUUGCUAUACACUGAAGACGUUUGGGUUUGAGGUCAAAAGAUGAAUAUGAGAUGAUGGUUUAGAAUUUCAGCUUUCAUUUCCUGAUUUUUAUAUCUGUGUUACACAGAUUAAAACAUGGCACCUUUUGGUAUAGGCACAAAUUCUCUUAAAGUAAAUUAAACAGCACUUAAUAUUUGGUUCAUAUCCCUUACUUGCAAUAACUGUAUCAAGCCAGCAUACAUACAUCCCAUAUACAUCGCUCAAAACAAGAGUAGCUGUUCAUAGCUACUAAUUCUUUAAACUAUCAAUUUAACAGGAUACACCUGGGCAACAAGAAACACCAGUCACAUGUUCCAACAUACUUCAUCACUUGAAAAUAAAAUGUUUAAAAAAUCUAUAUGUAAAUAUCAGGAAAAAAAGCUAAAAUUCUGAGCUAUCAUUUUAUAUUCGUCAUUUGAUCUUAAACCCAGAUGUCUAGGUAUAGGAAAAACAAUAUAAUUGAACUUGCUUUUCAGAGGGGACUGUAUUUAACAGAGUUAAAAAUUAUGUUAACAGUUAACAGUUAUGUUUUUUAAGUGCUCAGUUGUAGUAUCCCUAACCUGAGUUGCUUAAUGUUCUGUAAUUGUUGUAUAGAAGGACUUGUUCUGUUAAGUCACAGGUGACCCGGUAAAUCACCAUGUGGUCAUGUUUGUGUUUGUGUUAAGUCGAGUACCAAUAAAACAUGCCUGUCCUUCUAAUACAGUGUAAAGUCUUUUUUUGUGUAUUGUUAAACUGAUGUCCCGAUAAAGCGGUGUGACCUUAUAAGUACCAAUUCUGUCGGAGGCGGGAGCUUCUCAGACGGUCCUUAUAUGCAACCAUAAUGUCAGGUCUUGUGUUUAAGAGUUUAAUUUUGCGUAGAAGAAAUCUGAAGUGAAAUUUGUCUUGCUAAAAAAAAACCAAAUUUUUUGAUGUUUACGGCAUUGCUGUAGCACAAAGGGAAAGGUGGGUCCCCUUAAACCACGUUUCAACUGGUUUGGCCGGCAAAGUCCUCGUAAGACUUAAAAACCAGUAUGUGUGUGUAGGAGU